ensembl:lncRNA
GGUGUAUAAAGUAAUUGUGUAUUAAAGUGUCCCUAUUAUGGGUAAUGAAAGGUUAAUAUUUUAGUUUUGGGAGUCCCCAGCAACAGGUUGCCAUGCAUACAAGGUCAAAAAACACUUUUCAUUGUCUUAUAAUAUGCAUUUAUUUUUUACCUUACUUGCUAAAUGACUCCCAAACAAUUCGCUCAACAAUUCAUUUUUCCAAACCCCUCCUUUGCAUGAUGCUAUAAUCUGCGGUGAUUGGUUGAAAAAUGACUCAUUUCAAUGAUUCAGAGUUGACUUUCUUUUGAGAGACAAUAACUUUAUACACGUGCACUUUCAGAUUUAAAAUUUUGCAGGAUGUUUUCAUUCACUUAGGGCUGUGUUACACACUGCAUGAAUAGGUAAUUUUCGAAAAUCCAUAAUAGGGGCACUUUAAGACAAACCGAUUUUUACACAUUUGCACACUUGCAUGUUUGCUUAACUUUGCAAAAACUGAAAAAAAAACCCUAAUCAUCAUCAUCAUAUUUUCAUAUAAACAAUUAUAUUUUCCCUAUAGCUUAGAACAUCAUUUAGUUCAGCAGUACUUGCUCAGAAGUAUGUGGAGCGGGUCGACACAAAAGAAGAUUCCAAAACAUAUUUCUAUGAAUUACAAGAUGAAAAUGAAACAGGUUCUUCCAGUGAAGAAUCUCAAGCCAGCAGUGGUCAAAGUGUAUGAUUAAUAACAAACAAGUGAUCAGUCAGAAACCGAGUACUCCUUCCACUGUCAAUGAGGUCAUGCCCUUCAAUUCUGCAGCUCAUAAUACUAUAUGAGCAGUUCUUCUCAGUGUCAUUGGUUUAUUUCAUUUGUGAUUUUUCAUGUGCAUCUUCAAAUGUGUACUCAGUGGAACUCACAAUUUAAUUUGUAAUUUGUUCUUGUCUUUUAACAGAACUUGUUUGAUCUUAUCAUAAGAAAUUAAAUAAUUUUAAUGUUGUAAAAAUUAUGAAACCACCAAA